rfam:Sphaerulina musiva SO2202 unplaced genomic scaffold SEPMTscaffold_13, whole genome shotgun sequence.
GGACGUUUGGCCGAGCGGUUAAGGCGCCGUCUUAAGGUUAGUGACUCUCCUGAGUCCAGAUCUCGGCGGUUCGAAAGAGCGCAGGUUCGAGUCCUGCAGCGUUCA